rnacentral:rRNA from 1 species
UUGGGAAUCUUGGACAAUGGGGGAAACCCUGAUCCAGCCAUGCCGCGUGAGUGAUGAAGGCCUUCGGGUUGUAAAACUCUUUCGACGGGGACGAUAAUGACGGUACCCGUAGAAGAAGCUCCGGCUAACUUCGUGCCAGCAGCCGCGGUAAUACGAAGGGGGCUAGCGUUGUUCGGAAUUACUGGGCGUAAAGCGCGCGCAGGCGGCUAUCCAAGUCAGUGGUGAAAGCCCGGAGCUCAACUCCGGAACUGCCAUCGAAACUGUUUAGCUUGAGGACGAGAGAGGUGAGUGGAAUUCCCAGUGUAGAGGUGAAAUUCGUAGAUAUUGGGAAGAACACCGGUGGCGAAGGCGGCUCACUGGCUCGUAUCUGACGCUCAGGCGCGACAGCGUGGGGAUCAAACAGGAUUAGAUACCCUGGUAGUCCACGCCGUAAACGAUGAAUGCUAGCCGUUGGGCAGCUUGCUGUUCAGUGGCGCAGCUAACGCAUUAAGCAUUCCGCCUGGGGAGUACGGCCGCAAGGUUG